GCUUAGCCGUAAAACAUUUACUUACACUCAAACCGCCAGGGAAUUACGAGCCCAAGCUUAAAACCCAAAGGACUUGACGGUGUCUCAUCCCCCUAGAGGAGCCUGUUCUAUAAUCGAUUCUCCACGAUUUACCCCACCAUCUCUUGAAUACUCAGCCUGUAUACCUCCGUCGCAAGCUUACCAUGUGAACGCAUACCUAGUGAGCCUAAAGAUAUUACAUCCAUACGUCAGGUCAAGGUGCAGCCUACGAGCUGGAAAGAAAUGGGCUACAAUCUCUAUCUUAGAACAAACGAAAGACUACAUGAAAUACAGUCUGAAGGCGGAUUUAGUAGUAAAAAGAAAAUAGAGAGUUCUUUUUAAUUGGGCACUGAGACGCGUACACACCGCCCGUCAUCCUCUUCAAGUAAUAUAUAUAACGUUAUUAACACUACAUAAUUUUAUAGAAGAGGCAAGUCGUAACAUGGUAAGCGUACUGGAAAGUGCGCUUGGCACAACAAAAUGUAAUUUAAUAUAAAAUAUCUUGCUUACACCAAGAACAUGUCUGUGAAACCCCUAACCAUUUUGAGCCCAAAGCCCAGCCCUACUAUAUCAACAAUAAAAUAAAUACUCUAAAUAUAUAAUAAAUAAAACAUUUUUUUAACAAAGUAAAGGUGAUUAAAAAGUACUUAGGAGCCCUAACAUC
rnacentral:rRNA from 1 species